GAUGAAGACGUAGCGAAAUGCGAUAAGUAGUGUGAAUUGCAGAAUUCAGUGAAUCAUCGAAUCUUUGAACGCACAUUGCGCCCUUUGGUAUUCCUUAGGGCAUGCCUGUUCGAGCGUCAUUUAAACCUUCAAGCUCAGCUUGGUGUUGGGUGACUGUCCGCCGCCUCCGGGCGGUCGGACUCGCCUCAAAUUGAUUGGCGGCCGGUACUUUGGCUUCGAGCGCAGCAGAAACGCGAACUCGAGGCCGUCGUCCUGGCUCCCAGAAGCUAUCUUCACAAUUUUGACCUCGGAUCAGGUAGGGAUACCCGCUGAACUUAAGCAUAUCAAUAAGCGGGAGGA
rnacentral:misc_RNA from 1 species